CACCCGGCAGCGAGCAGCCGUCCCCCGAUCCACAAUGACACAGCAGGGAUGGAGGGACACGGCGCCCGGGCUCCUUCCCCCAGGUGACCUCGCCCCUCGCCUCCGGCUGAAAACCCCGGCGAAGGGAAGGGAGCGGCAGCCCUUCCGGCAGCGGCCCCUCGAAGUGAGGAGGCCGUGACACGCAUGGCUCUGGCCGCCGCUGCUGCACCGAUCCGGCGGCUGCAAUUCUCCCCUAGAUCCUCCAGACUUUUGUAUCCAGCGUGUGUGUGUGUGCGUGUGUAAGAGUGAGUGUGUGUGUGCGUGUGCGCGCUGUGUCCUUGGUGCGAUGGCCUUCAAUCGCCCCGAAACAGCAAACGCUAACUAAGCAGAUCUCUCUCCACGAAGAUCAACUCCCAAGCCCGGUCUAAUUGUGCACCACCCGGUACUGCAAAUGUGGACUCCUUGAUGUUAAUCUCCUUUCUGUGGUCUGAGCGUAUGAGUGUGACUGGAGCUCCCUCUCUCUCAGGCUGCCAGCGCCACGCAGCACUGCACAAGGAGAACCGGAGUAAGGAGAAAAACAAGAGGAAAUCCAGGCUGGAAAUCUAAAUCAGUACCAGCCACCGGCUUUCUGGUUCUAUCAACACAAGUACAAGAAGAGAAAGGGAGAAAGAAUCGUCUGAAAGCUGCUAAAUCAGUCGUGACAGCAUGAGCACAAAAUUAUUUUAUUCCUCGUGUUAGCUUCCUUCUCAGACUGAAGUUAGACAUGGUCAGAAAAAAUGCAAUCUCAUUAGGAGUGUUUUGUACCAAAACAAGAAUUUCCUUGGUGUCACCAGAGCCAAGCCA